CCCCACUACACUUCUCACCGUGCAUUUGAAUGAAUGGUGCUCACCAAUUUACUCCUGUGUGUUCAAAGGACAGCAGUGGAGAGUGAGAGGUUAAGUCCCAGGAAGAAGAGGCUGAAACUCAGAGCUGUUGGGCACCACCGCAGCGCCACAGGCAUCUGUUCUAUGGGUGCCGCGAGGACAGGUCCAGGUUGCCUGCAACUAGGGGCUCACCAGCCACCAUUCCUGGCCAGGGCUGGGGCAGGGUCUUGUCCGCUCUCCCAGCCGUCAAAGACAGGAAUGAGCCCAGGAAGUUGACCUUUGAAGCACUCUCCUGCUCUUGGGGCCAUGUCAUCAGGAAGAAACUCCAGGCUGAAAACACAACUGCAAGGCCAACAGGCAGGGGAGCAGCUUUCUCAGGACACCUGAGGUCCUGCCCCACCAGGCUCUGGUCUUUACACACCAUCUCUCACUGUCCUCUAGCCCCAACUGCACAUUGCCUUCCUCCUUCCUGAGCUCAUGCUUGCCCCUCCCUCGGCAUCUCCCUAGCCCCAGCCUGAAGGCUGACCUCCUCCAGAAAGCCUCUCCCUCACCACGAGGCCAGAAAGAGUCUGUCCUGUCUCUAGCUUCUGAGUUUCUUAGUCCCAACGACUGUCCCUGCUCCACUGACACCUUCCAUACACAGCUUUGUGAGCUGUGCGCAUCUGUGGGUACCAGAGGGUCACUGGUGACACCCUGCUCAGCCACAGCACCAGAGAGGAGAGAAAACACCACAACAGUCUUCAUAGAACUAAAAGACUUCCUAGAGCGCGCUUGCCCUUUGUUUCUAUAGCUGCUGCUACGUGGAUAAGAGUCACUAGUUCAGCUCAUAUUCAGGACCAACAGAACACUUCCAAAGGUGGCUCACCUCAGAGACUGGGACUCCAGAGGUCAGCGUGCCUCUGUCUAGCUGUGCUUUCUAGUGAACACGUUACUUCACCUCCCCUGGGCUCAGUCUUGUCACUUUGGCAAUGAGGGCAUUUGGCGGCAUUCUCUGAAGCCACCCUACCCCCUUCAAUGGUCUGGAACCUUAGCAGCACAUUUGAAUCAUCUGAGGAGCUUUUUUAAAAUACCACGGCCUGGGCUCUGCCCCGAGAGGUUCUGAUCUAAUUGGUCUGGGAUAGAACCUCAGGUGGUUCUCAUGUGCGGGCAAGCUGGAGGACCCCUACACUAGUUGUUAUGAGGAUUUUAUUCAGCAAACAUCAAACCCCACAUGGAGUGGUCCAGGGGCCAGAACCUAGACAUUCAAGAGGGAGUUCCUGUGAGUUUAACUUCCUCUCCUGGAAUAAAAAUUUUAAGAACUCAAAAAGCACAAAAGUUGAUUUUUGGGGGGGGUCUCUUUUCAAAUUAUGACCCUAAAGUUAGGCCGCCAUCAGUCAUAUAUAGGUCAGAAGGGGGCCCAGUCCUGACUUGGAUGUUAGAUGAGUUUAUUGGCCACAGAGAGACUAAAUCUUAAAGGACCCCCUUGGCAGAAGGAAUCAGCAGCCAGCGUGGCCACUCGACUGCCUGACCCAGACCCCCAAGGUGAAGAGGCCCUUUGAGCCUCCAUGCAGCAGCCCUGCCAGGAGGCACCACUGUGAUGUAUCACUGUGGUCAACCAUCCCUCCAAGCCUCAGGGCAGCCUUUGAACUGGGUUGCCCUGCCCACAGUGUGAAGCCAGUGCUCUGAACAGGCAUGUCGGAGAAUACUGCCAGAAAGUCACUCCUCGGGACCAAGUAGGGAAGGGCCUUAACGAGCAGCAAAAAGUUAUCCUUCAAUGUGUUUAAAAGAAAUCCUGUGUUAACCCUUUUAAGGAUACUAAAUGGCAGAUGUUGGUGCUUGAAGAGGCCUGGCCCAAACCCUCCCCACAAGCAGAAUAGGUUCUCUCAUCCCCAUGUUACCUCUACAGUAAAAACCCAGAGGAAGAGCUGAUCAUGUGCUGCCCACCUGGUCUACUCCAGUGAAACAGGAUCAUUUCUAAUUAGCCAGACUCUAAACAAAUGGGUACAAUUGACAUGCUGGGAACAUUUUUGUUUAAGUGAUAAUGAAAAUAUUUUCCCUUUAUUACGUGCUUGACUCGGAUGUGUGGCACAGGAUGGCACUUCAUAACCGCUUGAGAAAGUGAGGCAGGUAUUCAUGUCACUAUUUUACAGAUUAGGCACCCAGCAUAAGUUAAUGCCAGGGCAAGACCGUUUGUAAGCCAGGUCUCCUGGCUUAUCCCCUCCUCAUGUUACUGUAAUUCUCUCUCCAGCUGCAAUCAAGCUUACAUUAUCUGUGUGCUCACCAAUUUUAUUUUUAAUUUAAAGGCAUAUGUUGUGUUCCCAAUUAUAAUUAAAAAAUUUAAAAGUAUAUUAUGUUUAAAGUAUGAACCCAAGUCUGAAAAAGUGUAAGUUAUACUCAUAUAGAAUAAAAUAACCAAAAUAAAAUACAUCAAAAUAUUAACCAUGGU
rnacentral:lncRNA from 1 species